AGAGCAAAGGCCUUAAUGGAUGUUACCCAUUCCUCACUCUAGCCUUUCCAUUUAACAAAACUGGUCGGGUCAACCACACAAACAGGACACAAUCUAACACAAAUGAGUCAGCCAGUCCAAACAUUCCUCUACUCCACCAAGGGGCCAGAUGAGACUCCAGCAGAUGAGGGGCCAGAUGAGACUCCAGCAUGAGAUGGCGGUAGGAGCAACAGCUACGGGCGAGGGAGCUCCACAACGAACGGCUUUUAUACGGUAAUUUCUCCCUUGUUGGAGGUUACAAUGCAUUGGAAAAUACGGGGCAGCCUCCCCCCUUCUUAUGCCAUCACCCUCGGACCCGACCUGGAUGCCAGCUAUCAGAAAUGCGAUGUGAAACUUCCACCUGUGCUGGGCCGCUGCCGCCGCCAUUUCUUGUUUGCUGGGUCGGAGCUGGGGGUGGGCUGCGGCCCUUCGGCGGGCCUGGCGCCGCGGCCUAUCUUCGGGAGACGGCGUUGCUGGCUGCGGCAGUUUUCCAAUGGCUGCUGGGGUUGGGGCGCGCCCCUGCAGCCCCCACUGUCCUGCCGUGUUGACCUUUGUUCGUUCCGCCUUGUGUCGGCCACGUUUGCCUCUCGGCGCCUUUGCCUUUGGCUUCUUGGGGAGAACUUUCCUGUUGGUCACGUCUUCGUGGGGCCUGUUUGUGCCGCCCCCUCGCUGUUUACUACACUGGACGCUGGAUGCUGAGAGUGAGAGGAGGUGCCACUUUCGGUUUCGCAAAUGACGCACCUUUUGGACUAUACGGGCUAGAAGCCUUAUUGAACCUUACUGUAGUAGCUUUUAUCUGGUUGUUUUAGUUUUAUUGCUUGUUUUUUUUGAUGUUGUGAUGUUUAUAUACCUUUACUUUGUACAUCGCUCAGAGUGGCUGGGUCUCCAGCCAGA